UACGGUGGGGGCAAGCGUUGUUCGGAAUUACUGGGCGUAAAGGGCUCGUAGGCGGCCAACUAAGUCAUACGUGAAAUCCCUCGGCUUAACCGGGGAACUGCGUCUGAUACUGGAUGGCUUGAGUUCGGGAGAGGGAUGCGGAAUUCCAGGUGUAGCGGUGAAAUGCGUAGAUAUCAGGAGGAACACCGGUGGUGUAAACGGCUUUCUGGACCAUAACUGACGCUGAGGCACGAAAGCGUGGGUAGCAAACAGG
rnacentral:rRNA from 1 species